CCCGCUGAACUUAAGCAUAUCAAUAAGCGCAGGAAAAGAAACCAACAGGGAUUGCCUCAGUAACGGCGAGUGAAGCGGCACCAGCCCAAAUUUGAAAUCUGGCCUCUCGGGGUCCGAGUUGUAAUUUGUAGAGGAUGUUUUGGGUACCGCCCCGGUCUAAAUUUCUUGGAACAGAAUGUCAGAGAGGGUGAGAAUCCCGUCAUGGACCGGCGGUAGGGCCUGUGUAAAACUCCUUCGACGAGUCGAGUUGUUUGGGAAUGCAGCUCAAAAUGGGUGGUAAAUUUCAUCUAAAGCUAAAUAUUGGCCAGAGACCGAUAGCGCACAAGUAGAGUGAUCGAAAGAUGAAAAGCACUUUGAAAAGAGAGUUAAACAGUAUGUGAAAUUGUUGAAAGGGAAGCGCUGGCAACCAGACUUGAGCGCGGCGGUUCCCCUGGCCUUUUGGCCAGGCUACUCCGUCGUGUCCAGGCCAACAUCGGUUCUGAGGGUCGGUCAAAGGCUCUGGGAAUGUAUCUACCCACGGGUAGACUUAUAGACCAGGGUGUCAUGCGGCCUCUCGGGACCGAGGAACGCGCUUCGGCUCGGAUGUUGGCGUAAUGGUUGUCAGCGACCCGUCUUGAAACACGG
rnacentral:rRNA from 1 species